UUUAUUGGAGAGUUUGAUCCUGGCUCAGGACGAACGCUGGCGGCAUGCCUAAUACAUGCAAGUCGAGCGGACUUGAAGAGAAGCUUGCUUCUCGGAUGGUUAGCGGCGGACGGGUGAGUAACACGUAGGCAACCUGCCCUCAAGUUUGGGACAACUACCGGAAACGGUAGCUAAUACCGAAUAGUUGUUUUCUUCGCCUGAAGGAAACUGGAAAGACGGAGAAAUCUGUCACUUGGGGAUGGGCCUGCGGCGCAUUAGCUAGUUGGUGAGGUAACGGCUCACCAAGGCGACGAUGCGUAGCCGACCUGAGAGGGUGAUCGGCCACACUGGGA
rnacentral:rRNA from 1 species